GACGAACGCUGGCGGCGUGCCUAAUACAUGCAAGUAGAACGCUGAAGCUUGGUGCUUGCACCGAGCGGAUGAGUUGCGAACGGGUGAGUAACGCGUAGGUAACCUGCCUGGUAGCGGGGGAUAACUAUUGGAAACGAUAGCUAAUACCGCAUAAGAGUAGAUGUUGCAUGACAUUUGCUUAAGAGGUGCAAUUGCAUCACUACCAGAUGGACCUGCGUUGUAUUAGCUAGUUGGUGAGGUAACGGCUCACCAAGGCAACGAUACAUAGCCGACCUGAGAGGGUGAUCGGCCACACUGGGACUGAGACACGGCCCAGACUCCUACGGGAGGCAGCAGUAGGGAAUCUUCGGCAAUGGACGGAAGUCUGACCGAGCAACGCCGCGUGAGUGAAGAAGGUUUUCGGAUCGUAAAGCUCUGUUGUAAGAGAAGAACGAGUGUGAGAGAGGAAAGUUCACACUGUGACGGUAUCUGACCAGAAAGGGACGGCUAACUACGUG
rnacentral:rRNA from 1 species